UACGGGGGGAGCAAGCGUUGUUCGGAUUUACUGGGCGUAAAGGGCGCGUAGGCGGCCUCCGCAGGUCAGUUGUGAAAUCUCCGAGCUUAACUCGGAAAGGUCAACUGAUACUGCGGGGCUAGAGUCCGGAAGAGGCGAGUGGAAUUCCUGGUGUAGCGGUGGAAUGCGCAGAUAUCAGGAGGAACACCAAUAGCGAAGGCAGCUCGCUGGGACGGUACUGACGCUGAGGCGCGAAAGCGUGGGGAGCAAACAGG
rnacentral:rRNA from 1 species